GGGUGAUUAGCUCAGCUGGUUCAGAGCACCUGCCUUACAAGCAGGGGGUCACUGGUUCGAAUCCAGUAUUACCCACAA
rnacentral:tRNA from 1 species